rnacentral:tRNA from 2 species
GGAGAAAUACUCAAGUGGCCGAAGAGGCGCCCCUGCUAAGGGUGUAGGUCGGGAAACCGGCGCGAGGGUUCAAAUCCCUCUUUCUCCGCCA